rnacentral:rRNA from 1 species
GAUGAACGCUAGCGGCAGGCCUAACACAUGCAAGUCGAGCGGGAUUAAUUGGUAGCUUGCUACUAAUUAUGAGAGCGGCGCACGGGUGCGUAACGCGUAUGCAACCUACCUUACACUGGGGUAUAGCCCGGAGAAAUUCGGAUUAAUCCCCCAUAUCAUUAUCGAUUCGCAUGUUUUGAUAAUUAAAGGUUACGGUAUAAGUUGGGCAUGCGUCCUAUUAGCUAGAUGGUGAGGUAACGGCUCACCAUGGCGACGAUAGGUAGGGGGCCUGGGAGGGUGGUCCCCCAGACUGGUACUGAGACACGGACCAGACUCCUACGGGAGGCAGCAGUGAGGAAUAUUGGUCAAUGGGCGCAAGCCUGAACCAGCCAUGCCGCGUGCAGGAAGACGGCUCUAUGAGUUGUAAACUGCUUUUAUGUCAGGGUAAAUCCGCUUACGUGUAGGCGGUUGAAAGUAUGACAAGAAUAAGCACCGGCUAACUCUGUGCCAGCAGCCGCCGUAAGAC